rnacentral:ncRNA from 2 species
GUUAGAGUAGGUGAUUGCGCGUGAAGUGCUAGAUGGACAGGAAGUUGCCACUAGACGAAGAGAUUUUAAUGUUAUUUAAAGUUUCGCGAUGCAGUUGCCGCAUUCCGCUAAC